CACGUUAUUCCUGUACCUGUUAAACAAUACUGUCAGGCAUCAUAUCUUUGAAUGUCAGACUGUAUCUAGAGCCAUCACUUCUCCUGGCUCCAUUCAAGCGCCCAUGCUUCUUCUUGGAGGCAGCUUUAUCUCUGCUCAUGUCCCAGAGAGAAGCACGAAAUUUAGUGAUCGAGCAAAGACCUGCCUCUUCUUCAGCGCCCAUGUCCUUUCUGAAUCCCAAAUAAUUUGUCAAGUGUUUGGAAGAGAGGGCAAUUGUAAUGAUUUAAAUUUUUACCAAAAACCCAUUUGCACUUAGAUUGGUCAUCAACUCCCGCAAGGGAAACAGAAACUUUGACCCUCCCAACAAAAUAAUACAAAAUAAAAGUCAAACGUCAGCCACCUCCCAGCCCCCACCAAAAACAAGCAGAAACAGAAAACAAAUCAAAGACUUAAUGAUUUAUGAACCUGGAGAGAACACAGUCCUUCUAGGCUGAGCUGCAAAGAUGCCCCUGCCUCCGUGCCUCGUUCAAAGUGGCGAUGCCCCCUGGGAAUAAGAGGUGAUGGUUUCUCACUUCCGCCCUAGUACAGAGUAUGCUCUUGAAGCUGGGUUCCAUCAGCAGGUAAGUGAACAUGACAAAUG
rnacentral:lncRNA from 1 species